AGGUAGGAAUACCCGCUGAACUUAAGCAUAUCAAUAAAAGAGGAAA
rnacentral:rRNA from 1 species